AAUGCCAGCUGCUUGCUCAAAUGAGGAUGUUACAAUCUGCAUCUGAUGAUGGUAUUGCCUAUACCUUUGUUCCACCUGCCAAAAAAAAAAAAAAAAACCAUUUGAUAUCAAUACGUUGUGCUUAAGCAAUAAGGUUAAGUUGGAUGUCUAGAAGAAGUUUGGAAUUCAAGAACCUGACUGACGUACUCUAAUUGGUAAAUUUCAUUGAUUUGAGGUCUAAUAACAAACUAGAGCUUUCAAUUAAUUCAACAAAGAAUCUUCAAGGAUUGAAAUCUAAAGAAAUAAGACCUUAAAAUACUAGACUUAAAACUUAUGAACUUGCUUCUAUCCCAGUUUUUUCCAUAUAUAUAUGAUCUAAUUUCCAUACCUCAUCAAGCAUGUUAAUUAGCUUUGCUUUCUUCAUCUGAAUUUCCUGUUUCUCAGCCGUGGUCAGCUCUGCGGCGUGUUUCUCACCUGCCUCCCCACCACCAGAGCCAUCCCCGGCCACCACCGACGACUCUCCCACAGCCUUACUACUGCUAUUGCUAUGAUUAUUUCCACCACCACCCUUCUUAGCCAAUAAUUCACUCUUU
rnacentral:lncRNA from 1 species